rnacentral:lncRNA from 1 species
GGCCAGAAACCCUAACACCCAAAUUAAUUGGACCACCGUCAUCCACCACUGCAACAACCGCAAGCUUGCAUUCUCGUUGCCAAACCAUCGUGAAUCUGUGCAAAAUCCACUAGGUUCGAAGCCAAAACGUAUCAUCGCGAGCCUCCACCGUUGUUCACCAUUGAACCCAAACGCGAUUUGCAAACUUCCAUCUUCGUGGUGCCUUAACAAACCAACAACCACCAUUAUCUCCCUCAAGGUACCACUGUGAGUCCAGAAAUGAGAUCGAGAAACCCUUUGCUUUGCUACAAUCCACGAGCUUCACUACACCUGC